rnacentral:misc_RNA from 1 species
UGGUUCUGGCAUCGAUGAAGAACGCAGCGAAAUGCGAUAAGUAAUGUGAAUUGCAGAAUUUAGUGAAUCAUCGAAUCUUUGAACGCACAUUGCGCCCAUCAGUAUUCUGAUGGGCAUGCCUGUUCGAGCGUCAUUUCAAACUCUUAAGCUCUGCUGCUUAGUGUUAGGGACCGCUAUAGUAGCGCCCCUCAAAGACAUUGGCGGAGUCGUUUAGGGCUCUCAGCGUAGUAAUUCUUCUCGCUUUAGAGCACCGGCGGCCUUUUGCCACAACAAACAUCUCAAGGUUUGACCUCGGAUCAGGUAGGAAUACCCGCUGA